rnacentral:tRNA from 1 species
UGCGGGCUGGUGCAACCGGCAGCACGACCGGCUCUGGACCGGUCGAUGGGGGUUCGAAUCCUCCGCCCGCAGC